GAAGGAAGCACACUCUGGGGGCCGGACCUCCUUUGGCAGAGCUUUGUGGCCUUACAUCUUAGUAAACAGGGAGCACGAUCUUGCUUCUUUCACGCUUAGCUGGAGCAAUGGGAGAUCCAACAGCCUGGCAAGGGGCACAAGCCCUAGGACAGUGACAUCUUCUAUCCCAAGACCACAAAUUCUCAGAAAGCUGCCAAGUACUGGAGCCAGUAUGCUGGGGUUCCAGGCCCUGGCACCUGCAUUGCUGCUGCCUCCAUGGAUGGACUUGGCCAUGCAACACAGUGAUGAAAAAGCGAGGGUGUCACUGCAUGUACAGAAGAAGAGCAUCCUCAAGGCACAGGAGGGUGGACUUAGCCACAGCCAGGCACACUGAUUCUGCUUUGGAGGCCAAACAGGCUCAUUCACCAACACCAGCCCCCAAGUUGGGAGAGAGCCACGACACACCUGCUGUGCAAGCUAUCCUCUUGGUCACUCACAUUUGAUGUGCCAGAGGUACCUUCUUACCUGAAGGGAAAAUGCAAGAAGAUGGGAAGGGACCUGCAUGUUCCAGAUUCACAUGGAACUUGUCCUGGGAGGAGAAAACCCUUCCCCCCUCAAGCUACAGUUAAAUCAUCCACAGUGUGGCCCCAAAGUGCUGGGCACUGCACAGGAUGUCCCAGGAAUACAGACCCAACUCUCAAAGAGCUUCA